CCACACCCAACUAAUUUUGUAUUUUUAGUAGAGACAGGGUUUCUCCAUGUUGGUCAGGCUGGUCUCAAACUCCUGACCUCAGGUGAUCCACCUGCCUCGGCCUCCCACGGUGCUGGGAUUAUAGGCAUGAGCCACUGCACGUGGCCCUCACUUCCUAUUUUGUUGAGUAUUUUUAUGAAAAAGUCUAUUGAAUUUUUGUCAGAUGUUUUUGUCAUCUGUGAAUAGAACCCUUUGACUUUUGGCCUGCUCUUAAAUGUAGUUUGUGAACGGAUUUCCUAACCUUGAGCUAACCUUGCACUCCUGGAGUAAACCCCACUGAGUCACGGUCUGUUACUUUCUGUCCUUAAUGUUUCCUGUGGUCUGUUUACACCAGUAUUCCUAAGUGAUGAGAGUUCUUUUUCAUUGGCCCUUUCAGACUCGAGCCUUACGCGGACCCUUAUUAUGACUAUGAAAUUGAGCGGUUUUGGCGUGGCGGACAGUAUGAGAAUUUCAGGGUGCAGUAUACAGAAACAGAGUCGUAUCAUAAUUACCGAGAAAGGGAGCGGGAGCGAGAGAGAGAGAACAGACAGCGCGAGCGCGAGCGGGAGCGGGAGCGGGACCGAGAGCGGGAGCGCCGGCAGAGGGAGCGCGAGCGAGAGCGGGAGCGCGAGCGCGACAAGGAGCGGCAGCGGAGGAAGGAGGAGUGGGAGCGUGAGCGAGCCAAGCGGGACGAGAAGGACCGGCAGCACCGUGACCGCGACCGGGAGAAGGAGCGGGAGAAGGAGAAGGGGAAGCCCAAGCCCCGCUCCCCGCAGCCACCAAGCCGCCAAGCUGAGCCACCAAAGAAGGAGGCCACCACCACGGGGCCGCAGGUGAAGAGAGCAGAUGAGUGGAAGGACCCUUGGCGCCGAUCCAAGUCUCCCAAGAAGAAACUCGGGGUGUCGGUCUCCCCGAGCCGGGCUCGAAGGCGUCGGAAAACAUCAGCCUCGUCAGCCUCUGCCUCUAAUUCCUCCAGGUAAGGAGGGCUCGUGGGACGGCUGGGGUGUCAGCACCUUGUCGUCAGCUGAACACCGCGUACCUCACUGGGUCAGGUGGGGAACACCCCAGCCCCACUGUUUGCUGUGGCGUCAUUACCUGCAGACCAGUCAGUGGGACUAGCCCGGCGUUUAUACAUUCAGCAAAGAGCAUCAGUGCCAAGUAGGACUGACACAGUGACCCCAAAUGGGGCACAGACUCCGGCGACUGAGCCCGACUGCUCCCAGGGAGUCGCAGGCCACACUGGAGGGAGGGGCACCUGGAUGUGGGAGGACGCACAGACCCGGGGCCCAGUGAGUCCAUGUGUUCCUGCAGACUGGACCUGAAGCUGUGCCCCUCCACGUACAGUCCUGGUCGCAGCACACAGGAGCCUGGCUCCCGAGUGAGGGAUGACGGAAAGCAGGGGGCCAGGGUAGACCCCACGAUGCUCGGCAGGAACAGGAGGUGUGUGUGGGAGGCCAGGCUUCACUGAAAGUGGACGCAGAUGGACAGAUAGGCACACACACAGACCCACGUGAGCUGGGUCAGCACACACAUCCUGGCUCUGUCCACUCAGGCAGCGUCACCCGGUAACAGCAGGCAUACCCCACGCCCAGGUCUUGAUUUCUAAAUGCCAUUCUCCACUGAGGAGGGAUGGGACUGAAGAGUGUCUGGGGGAGGCUGUAUGUGUCUGUGCGCGUUUGUAGCUGUGCAUGUGUGCGUCUGUGCACGUGUGUGUAGCUGUGCAUUCAGGUCUGUGCCGGAGAGCAGCAGGUCAGCACAGGGUGUGUGGGGCAGGGAGGGCCCUUCUCACUUCUCGCCAUGCUCCCUCCCGCCCACGCCAGGUCAUCUUCGCGGUCAUCGUCCUACUCCGGCUCCGGCUCCUCCCGGUCACGAUCCCGGUCUUCAUCCUACAGCUCCUACUCCAGCCGCUCUUCCAGACACAGCUCGUUCUCAGGAAGCCGGUCCAGAUGCGUGCUGUCACUGAGGGCCACAGCCUGAGAUCCUCGAGUUGGGGCACUCCAGUCCUCCGGGGACAGGCCGAGGAAGGGGCCAGACCCAGCCCUGUCUUGCGGGUGUUUCUCUGGGAGCUGUGCUGCUGCCCCACUGCCAAGGAGCCUGUCUCCUCCUGUCCUGCACACACGUGAACAUGGCACUUGCCUCCCAGAGGACCCGCCAGUGAAUGCUGACACCUUCCACACUCUCCGGUCUACUCUGGGCCUGUGUUUUUAGCAGAUGACAGAACAGUCCAGAACUGAAGUUAAAACUGAGGCACAUAAAUGGAAAUUCGUGUCCUUCUCCAUGGGUCUGGGUGGGUCCUCAGUGGGCUUGGGCUGGUGAAGAAACACCCCCAGGCCCCUUCUGACACCUUUGUUCACUCCCCUAGGUCCCGGUCCUUCUCUUCGUCCCCGUCCCCGUCCCCAACACCUUCCCCGCAUAGACCUUCCAUCAGAACCAAGGGAGAGCCGGCCCCGCCACCCGGGAAAGCAGGGUGAGUGCCCGGCCUGUGGGCAAGUCCUGGCCGGCCAGGCCUCCAGAGGCUGCAGCCUCCUCCCUCCGUCUCCAUCUCUCAUUUGUGUUUGGGACCAAAGAGGUGAGGAUGCCUCAGAGGGCUGGCCCCAGAGGGUGACUGGGCUGGGGGGCACUGGGCACAGCCCCUGUUCUCACAGGCCGCCCUUGCACGGCAGCACUCCCUCAGGAGCUCUGGGAACGGAGCACAGCCCUGGGGACACGGCAGCAGCCGGGUGUUCUUAAGGGGUCUUCCUAUUAGCCUGCUCUCCCCACUACCUGGCGGUGCCUGUAGCUCUUGCCUGUUAGAGGGGAGCCCGGAAGGGCUGCUGGGGGCUUUGAAGCCGUUCCCAAGCACUCUGACACUGAUGGAUGGGGAACCAUGUCCAGGCACGAGCGUGCUCACUUAGCAUCACAGGCAUGCAGUGUCAUUCCCCGAGGUGUGGGUACAUUUAAAGGGGACGUAGGCCAGCAGGGCUUUGUCCACCAGCCCUGCCCUGCUUGAGCCUCCCUGUCUCACAGAGAGAAGUCAGUGAAGAAGCCGGCCCCGCCUCCAGCCCCACCACAGGCCACCAAAACCACUGCUCCCGUCCCCGAGCCCACGAAGCCAGGAGACCCUCGGGAAGCCAGGAGGAAGGAGCGGCCAGCCAGGACCCCCCCCAGGAGGCGGACGCUAAGCGGCAGCGGCAGUGGCAGUGGCAGCAGCUAUAGUGGUUCCAGCUCCCGAUCCAGGUCAUCCCCGUCACCCUGUGCCUCUGUUUCUCCCUCCCCGUCGGGGCCAGGAAGUCCCAGAAGCAGCCAGUGUGGGUUGGGCUGUCUCCCACAGGCAGGCUGGGGCCCUUCUGGAUCUGAGUCACCUUGGGGCCAUGCAAGGCUGCGGUUGAAGCUUUGACACAGGAGAAAAUGGGCCAGGACUCGUGAUAGGGAGACCCCCUCCCCCCACAAAAACAGCUUCACAAACUCGGGGGCACUCAGGUCAGGAGGAGGUGCCUCUGCCCUGCUGACUUGAUGCCCCAGCACCCUGAGAGAGCACCUGCACCUGGGGAGGAGCCAGCAGCUUCCAGCCCAGCAGGGGCAGAGGCUGGGCCUGUGCGACCUAUCACACCUGUCGAGGGAACCGGCCUGAGGGGGUGGGGAAGCCGAUAAAAAACAUCUGAGAAGAGAAUACAUGGAAAAGCUUUGUGGGCCAGGCGCGGGGGCUCACACCUGUGAUCCCAGCAAUGUGGGAGGCCAAGGCAGGAGGAUUGCUUGAGCCCAGGACUUGACGACCAGCCUGAGCAACACAGACCCCAUCUGCACAGAAAAAGGUUUUUUUUGUUUUUUUUCGUUUUUUUUUUUUGAGACAGUUUCGUUCUUGUUGCCCAGGCUGGAGUGCAAUGGCGCGAUCUCGCAACCUCCACCUCCUGGGUUCAACCUCAGCCUCCCGAGUAGCUGAGACUACAGGCGCACGCUGCCACACCCAGCUGAUUUUCUAUAUUUUAGUAGAGACGGGGUUUCACCAUGUUGCCCAGGUUGGUCUCAAAGUCCUGAGCUCAGGCAAUCCACCCACCUUGGCCUCCCAAAGUGCUGGGAUUACAUGCGUGAGCUGCCGCGUGCAGCCUAAUUUUGUAUUUUUAGUAGACUGGGUUUUACCAUGUUGCUGAUCUUGAACUCCUGACCUCAGGUGAUCCAUCUGCCUCGGCUUCCCAAAGUGCUGGGAUUACAGGUGUGAGCCACCGCACCCAGCCCAGAAGUUUGUUUUAAUUAUCUGGGUAUAGUGGUGUGUGCCCUGUAGUCCCAGCUACUUGGGAGGUCAAGGUUGAAUGAGCUGUGAUCACGCCAUUGCAUUCCAGCCUGGACAACAGAGAUCCUGUCUCAAAAAAGAAACAAAGGGUUUUUGCUAUUUAGUUGUUUUAAAAGAAAGUAUUAAAUCAGUCCUUAGAUUCCUUGCAUAGAACUUUUUCAUUUCCAGGCAGCAGGUAGUUUAUAUAUUUGUCACAUUUUUUUUUCUUUUGUUUGUUUUGUUUCUGGAGAGACAUGGUCUUGCUGUGUUGCCCAGGCUGGUCUCAAACUCCUGGGCUCAAGUGAUCCUCCCACUGUGGUCUCCCAAACUCCUGGGAUUAUAGGCAUGAGCCACCGCGCCUGGCCUAAAUGUUUCUUAAUAGGUCUGAAAUGUUUUAAAGACCUGACUUUUG
rnacentral:sRNA from 1 species